rnacentral:tRNA from 1 species
GGCCCUUUAGUCUAUCGGUCAGGACACAAGACUCUCAAUCUUGGGAGACGGGUUCGAUUCCCGUAAGGGCCACCA